UGAUUUCUAAGGGUCUCAGAGACCUAGGAUCCACAAAAUCAAAACAGCAAAACCAAGCCUUUGUGCACAUCUGUGGUUGUGACCAGUUGGAGAGACAUUAGGAGAUGAGAUACUAUGUUCACUCCUCACAGCUGUACCAGGGACCCGAGAUAUUCCAUCACUAUUCUAUGACAGCUCUGUACCUUGCUGCUCUCCUUAAAGCCUGCCUCCAUCUAUGGAGCUAUGGUGCAUUACUCACGAGUGACAGAACCAACGAGCUUCAUCUCCCAAGAGGCUGGUGCAUCUGUUUAAAGGAGCAAGCGUUAUGCAGAGCCACCCCCACUCCACCCUCCAUGGCAGAGUGCAGUGGGGGAAGGGAUGGGAUUUCACCAUGUUGUCCAAGCUGGUUUUGAACUCCUGGGCUCAAGAAAUCCACCUGCUUCAGCCUCCCACAGUGCUGGGA
rnacentral:lncRNA from 1 species